CAGUAGCCGCGGUAAUACGGAGGGAGCUAGCGUUGUUCGGAAUUACUGGGCGUAAAGCGCGCGUAGGCGGUUACUCGAGUCAGAGGUGAAAGCCCGGGGCUCAACCCCGGAACUGCCUUUGAAACUAGGUGACUAGAAUCUUGGAGAGGUCAGUGGAAUUCCGAGUGUAGAGGUGAAAUUCGUAGAUAUUCGGAAGAACACCAGUGGCGAAGGCGACUGACUGGACAAGUAUUGACGCUGAGGUGCGAAAGCGUGGGGAGCAAACAGGAUUAGAUACCCCCGUAGUCCCUGUCUCUUAUAA
rnacentral:rRNA from 1 species